rnacentral:rRNA from 1 species
GACAAACGCUGGCGGCACACAUAAGACAUGCAAGUCGAACGGAAAUAUAUUUUUGUUUACAAAGAUAUAUUUUAGUGGCGGACGGGUGAGUAACGCGUGGGUAACCUGCCUUCAAGAGGGGAAUAGCACAGAGAAAUUUGUGAUAAUACCGCAUAACAUUGCACUGCUGCAUGGCAGAGCAAUCAAAGGAGUAAUCCGCUUGAAGAUGGACCCGCGUCUGAUUAGCUAGUUGGAGUGGUAAUGGCACACCAAGGCGACGAUCAGUAGCCGAACUGAGAGGUUGAUCGGCCACAUUGGGACUGAGACACGGCCCAGACUCCUACGGGAGGCAGCAGUCGGGAAUAUUGCACAAUGGGGGAAACCCUGAUGCAGUGAUGCCGCGUAUAGGAAGAAGGUUUUCGAAUUGUAAACUAUUGUCGACAGGGAAGAUGAAAAGACGGUACCUGUGGGGGAAGCCCCGGCUAACUACGUGCCAGCCGCCGCGGUAAUAC